GAUGAAGAACGUAGCGAAAUGCGAUACGUAGUGUGAAUUGCAGAAUUCAGUGAAUCAUCGAAUCUUUGAACGCACAUUGCGCCCUUUGGUAUUCCAAAGGGCAUGCCUGUUCGAGCGUCAUUUGUACCCUCAAGCUUUGCUUGGUGUUGGGCGUCUUGUCUCCAGUCCGCUGGAGACUCGCCUUAAAGUCAUUGGCAGCCGGCCUACUGGUUUCGGAGCGCAGCACAAGUCGCACUCUUUUCCAGCCAAGGUCAGUGUCUAACAAGCCUUUUUUCAACUUUUGACCUCGGAUCAGGUAGGGAUACCCGCUGAACUUAAGCAUAUCAAUAAGCGGAGGA
rnacentral:misc_RNA from 1 species